GCAAAUGCGAUGAUGGAACAAAGAUACUGAAGGUCUUCAGAGAGCCGGCGGGUGGUGCAAGCCGGUGGCGGACAGCUGUCUUUAGCGCUCCUGAGAUAUUGUGUCGAAACUAACAGUAGGCACAAUCGGGUCACUCCGUUACCAGUGUUCCUGUCUUGAUCGGCAGGAUAAUGAGGCUGCAUCUGUAAUGGAUGCGGUGAAUUAGGGUGGUACCACGACAACUCUCGUCCCUUAC
rnacentral:ncRNA from 1 species